GCCUAGGCUAGAUAAACCUAUUUAUCCCUACAAAUGUUAAACCCAGGAGCUCCACAGGACAAAAAUACAUCAUGGAGAAAGCUCCCUUUGAAAUUUCUCUGAUGGUCUUCCUCUUGGUUGCUGCAUUUGGUGUGUCAAGCUGGGUGGUGGCAGGGGUUGCGGCUGGGGGAUAUACUAAUUAUCAGACAUUUCGGUGUCCAAGAAUGAUAGAUUGUAACGCAGUGUGCCAAGGUUUCCCAAACUGCUGCAUAGGUGGUCGGUGCUUGUGCGAGAAAUGCCCAACUUCAAGACCACUUUUGAAGCCUAAUCCUGAUUAGAAACAGAACGAUCCGGACACACUAACCAUUCGGUGCAUGCAUGUGGACCCAUGUGCAUCGAACAAUUGAACGGUCCCUGACAUAGUUGUGUCCGGAUCGAGUUGUCUCUCCCUAGACAUUUCUUCAAUGGGGGCGUCAGAUAUGUAAAUUAAAUUAACGUUGCGUUCAUUCCGGCCAUGUUGGACCUGACCGAAAUAUAGAAAUACAGAGUCGUUUUGGCUAUCUCGUAUUUAAAUAGAUUGUAGUAGAAUGUUUCAAUACAGUGGAGCUAGGUAGUAGCACUUAAUUAAUUAGGAGUAUGUCAAUGUGAUGAGUGAGGAAUCAAAAAAGAAAGGAUAUAUUGAAUUUGUUUACUUAAUUUCCAGCUUAAUUUAUGUGUUCAUUUUUCAGUGCAUUCGAUCUCUGUUACUCAAGAAGUUGUUUCUUUUUCCGGAAUAGAAAGGAUAUAUUGUCUUAAUUGGGUAUAAUCAAGGAGUUGUUUCUUUUUCGGAGUUUUCCCACGCACACUGAUCAUUGGGUGUACAGUUCGAUCCCAAACAUUGAAAGGAUGAAGCAGGGUAAAUGUUUUUUGUGUAAUCAGUGUAGAAACUUUUUGGAUCCAUCCAACAUAUUAGGAGAAAAAGUUUUCUGAAUUAUGUUUUAGUGAUCUCUCGUUCCACACCCGUUCAACUAUUUAUAGUAGGAUAAAACCCUUGUCUCUCUCUCGAUCUCUCUCUAUAAAGCAUCUUUUAGGUUUCCUCCGCCGCUACCCUUCCUCCUUCCCCUCCCCCUCCAAGGGUCUCCCAUGGCCUUUUCCGGUGGCAGGAGGGGGGAGGGUUUUACUCCCAUUCACAUGAUUUUAUCUCUUGUUUUUGUUUUCUCCCUCUUUCUCCUUUCUCCUUCCUCGCCACAAGGUCGGCGCUCCCCUGCCUCUGUCCUUGAUCUCCGCCACUCCUCAGCCCCUCCUCUCUUAGCCAGCAGCCACCUCCCCUUCACCGGCUUCCCAUCUUCCUCUUUGGCCGCCGCGCAAGUGAAGUUGGUUCGAACACCGUAGAUCUGAAGAUCAGAAAAGCUGAGGCCGUGAUCAAAGCUCAUUUUCCACCUCUCUCCUUCAACAAUAGAGAUCGAUUUUGAGGCGGCGAGAAAAAGGAUUUCCAACAGCGAAACAUCAAGGGAAGAGGGGAUUGUUUUCUUUUCUAUUUUGGUUUGGGUGUUCUGUUGUCCUGGUCUGGGUCCCUCAGAUCGGGCGUGUGAUGGCGCUCGCCAUCGUCGGGGUUUGUUGUGUAGCUCGCUGGUGUUUGGCUUUUGGUUUGCAUGGUUCAAGAGUCAAAACUUGAGAAUCUAUGCCUCAUGUUUGGUUAUUGUAUUCUCUUGAGAAUGAUAACCAUCUUUUGAUGUAUUAAAAAGCUCUUUUUAUCAAUGAAAAUCCCUACCAUUUUGUUUUGAAA